rnacentral:rRNA from 1 species
CUCAACCAGGAAACCGCUCUGCAAACUGGCAGGCGAGAGUAAGCUAGAGGUAGACGGAUGUCUCGGUGUAUCGGUGACAUGCGUUGAUAUCGCGAGGUAUACCAAUGGCGAAGCUAGUCUAUAGGGCCUCUUCUGACGCUCAGGCGCGAAAGCGUGGGUAGCAAUCAGGAUUAGAUACCCUGGUAGUCCACGCCCUUAUCGAUGGAUACUAGGCGUUAGGGGUAUCGACCCCCUUAGUGCCGCAGCAAACGCGAUAAGUAUCCCGCCUGGGGACUACGGCCGCAAGGCUGAUACUCCAAUGAAUUGUCGGGGACCCGCACAAACGGUGGAGCAUCUGGAUUAAUUCGAUACUAACCGAAGACUCUUACCCAGACUUGAUAUCGAGGGACCGGCUAUGAAAGUAGCCUUCCGCCUCACAAGGGCGGCCCAAAGACACCUGUUGCAUGGCUGUUGUCAGUUCGUGCCGUGAGGUGUUUGGUUAAGUCCAGCAACGAGCGCAACCCUCGUCCUAUGUUGCCUACAGGUAAAGCUGGGAACUCAUAGGAGACCGCCGGCGCAAGCCGGAGGAAGGUGAGGAUGACGUCAAGUCAGCAUGGCGGUUACGUCUGGGGCUUCACACAUGCUACAAUGGAUGCAACAAAGGGGAGCGAGACCGUGAGGUUUAGCGAAUCCCAGAAAUACAUCCUCAGUUCGGAUUGCAGUCUGCAACUCGACUGCAUGAAGUCGGAAUCGCUAGUAAACGCAGGUCAGCUAUACUGCGUUGAUACGUUCCCGGUGCUGUACACACCGCCCGUCA